GAUGAACGCCGGCGGCGUGCCUAAUACAUGCAAGUCGAGCGAACAGACGAGGAGCUUGCUCCUCUGACGUUAGCGGCGGCCGGGUGAGUAACACGUGGCUAACCUACCUAUAAGACUGGGCUACCUUCGGGAAACCGGGGCUAAUCCCGGAUAUUAUAUUGAACCGCAUGGUUCAAUAGUGAAAGACGGUUUUGCUGUCACUUUUAGAUGAAUCCGCGCCGCAUUAGCUAGUUGGUAAGGUAACGGCUUACCAAGGCAACGAUGCGUAGCCGACCUGAGAGGGUGAUCGGCCACACUGGAACUGAGACACGGUCCAGACUCCUACGGGAGGCAGCAGUAGGGAAUCUUCCGCAAUGGGCGAAAGCCGGACGGAGCAACGCCGCGUGAGUGAUGAAGGUCUUCGGAUCGUAAAACUCUGUUAUUAGGGAAGAACAAAUGUGUAAGUAACUAUGCACGUCUUGACGGUACCUAAUCAGAAAGCCACGGCUAGCUACGUG
rnacentral:rRNA from 1 species